UACGUAGGGUGCGAGCGUUAAUCGGAAUUACUGGGCGUAAAGCGUGCGCAGGCGGUUUUGUAAGCCAGAUGUGAAAUCCCCGGGCUUAACCUGGGAAUGGCAUUUGGGACUGCAAGGCUGGAGUGCGGCAGAGGAGACUGGAAUUCCUGGUGUAGCAGUGAAAUGCGUAGAUAUCAGGAGGAACACCGGUGGCGAAGGCGGCUCUCUGGACCGCAACUGACGCUGAGGCGCGAAAGCUAGGGGAGCAAACAGG
rnacentral:rRNA from 1 species